rnacentral:rRNA from 1 species
UUAGUGGCGGACGGGUGAGUAACGCGUGGGUAACCUGCCUUACACAGGGGAUAACACUUAGAAAUAGGUGCUAAAACCGCAUAAGCGCACAGCUUCGCAUGAAGCGGUGUGAAAAACUCCGGUGGUGUAAGAUGGACCCGCGUCUGAUUAGCUUGUUGGCGGGGUAACGGCCCACCAAGGCGACGAUCAGUAGCCGGCCUGAGAGGGCGGACGGCCACAUUGGGACUGAGACACGGCCCAGACUCCUACGGGAGGCAGCAG